CACGUAGGUAACCUACCCUCAGGACUGAGAUAACCCCGGGAAACUGGGGCUAAUAUUAGAUAGAUAAAAGAUACUGGAAUGUUCUUUUAUCCAAAGCUUUUGCGCCUGAGGAUGGGCCUGCGUCCGAUUAGGUUGUUGGUGGGGUAAUGGCCCACCAAGCCUACGAUCGGUACGGGCAGUGAGAGCUGAAGCCCGGAGUUGGGGACUGAGACAAGGCCCCAGGCCCUACGGGGCGCAGCAGGCGCGAAACCUCUGCAAUGCGGGAAACCGUGACAGGGGGAUCCCAAGUGCUCAUGCAUUGCAUGGGCUGUUCUUUGGUCUAAGUAACCAGAGGAGUAAGGGCUGGGCAAGACCGGUGCCAGCCGCCGCGGUAAUACCGGCAGCUCAAGUGGUAGCCGCGAUUAUUGGGCCUAAAGCGUUCGUAGCCGGAUAAGUAAGUCUUUGGUUAAAUCCUGCGACUUAACCGUGGGAAAUCUAGAGAUACUGCUUGUCUUGAGACCGGGAGAGGUUGGAGGUACUCCCAGGGUAGGGGUGAAAUCCUGUAAUCCUGG
rnacentral:rRNA from 1 species